rnacentral:piRNA from 1 species
UGUGAUCUCACAUGAUCCCCCUAAAGCAA